GAUGAACGCUAGCGGCAGGCCUAAUACAUGCAAGUCGAACGGUGUCUUCGGACAUAGUGGCGCACGGGUGCGUAACACGUAUGCAACCUACCUUACAUUGGGGGAUAGCCUUUCGAAAGGGAGAUUAAUACCGCAUAAGACAGUAGCUGGGCAUCCAGCAGCUGUUAAAGAUUUAUCGAUGUAAGCUGGGCAUGCGUCCAAUUAGCUAGUUGGUGAGGUAACGGCUCCCCAAGGCAAUGAUUGGUAGGGGAACUGAGAGGUCAAUCCCCCACACUGGCACUGAGAUACGGGCCAGACUCCUACGGGAGGCAGCAGUAGGGAAUAUUGGGCAAUGGACGCAAGUCUGACCCAGCCAUGCCGCGUGCAGGAUGAAGGCGUUAUGCGUUGUAAACUGCUUUUAUACAGGAAGAAACGACUCUUGCGAGGGGCAUUGACGGUACUGUAUGAAUAAGCACCGGCUAACUCCGUGCCAGCAGCCGCCGUAACAC
rnacentral:rRNA from 1 species